UACAGAGGUGGCAAGCGUUGUUCGGAAUUACUGGGCGUAAAGGGCGCGUAGGCGGCUUGGUCAGUCCCGUGUGAAAUCCCUCGGCUCAACUGAGGAACUGCACGGGAAACUGCCUGGCUUGAGUUCGGGAGAGGGAAGCGGAAUUCCGGGUGUAGCGGUGAAAUGCGUAGAGAUCCGGAAGAACACCGGUGGCGAAGGCGGCCUGCUGGGACAGUGCUGACGCUGAGGCGCGACAGCGUGGGGAGCAAACAGG
rnacentral:rRNA from 1 species